rnacentral:rRNA from 1 species
UUUCUCCUACGGGGAGGCAGCAGUAGGGAAUCUUCCGCAAUGGACGAAAGUCUGACGGAGCAACGCCGCGUGAGCGAAGAAGGUUUUCGGAUCGUAAAGCUCUGUUGUUAGGGAAGAACAAGUACCGGAGUAACUGUCGGUACCUUGACGGUACCUAACCAAAAAGCCCCGGCUAACUACGUGCCAGCAGCCGCGGUAAUAACGGA